AACGAACGCUGGCGGCAUGCCUAACACAUGCAAGUCGAACGAGACCUUCGGGUCUAGUGGCGCACGGGUGCGUAACGCGUGGGAACCUGCCCUUAGGUUCGGAAUAACUCCCCGAAAGGGGUGCUAAUACCGGAUAAUGUCUUCGGACCAAAGAUUUAUCGCCUUUGGAUGGGCCCGCGUUGGAUUAGCUAGUUGGUAGGGUAAAAGCCUACCAAGGCGACGAUCCAUAGCUGGUCUGAGAGGAUGAUCAGCCACACUGGGACUGAGACACGGCCCAGACUCCGACGGGAGGAAGAGGGGGGGAAUAUUGGAAAAGGGGCGAAAGCCUGAUCCAGCAAUGCCGCGUGAGUGAUGAAGGCCUGAGGGUUGUAAAGCUCUUUUACCGGGGAUGAUAAUGACAGUACGGGGAGAAUAAGCCCCGGCUAACUCCGUG
rnacentral:rRNA from 1 species